GUUGAGGGCCGAGGGGCAGGAAGAAGGAUUUUGCCGGGGGAGACCGAAACACCGGAGAGUUACAGGCCCAAAAACUGCGACUGGCAUACACAAGGAGCUCUCAUUAUGGUGGGUCUCUGCCCAAUGUUAACCAGAUUGGCUCUGGCCUGGCCGAGUUCCAGAGCCCCCUCCACUCACCUUUGGAUUCAUCUCGGAGCACUCGGCACCAUGGGCUGGUGGAACGGGUGCAGCGAGAUCCUCGAAGAAUGGUGUCCCCACUUCGCCGAUACACCCGCCACAUUGACAGCUCUCCCUAUAGUCCUGCCUACUUAUCUCCUCCCCCAGAGUCU
rnacentral:lncRNA from 1 species